rnacentral:rRNA from 1 species
CCCUUAGAUGUCCGGGGCCGCACGCGCGCUACACUGAACAGUUCAACAAGUCUUAACCUUGGCCGAUAGGUCUGGGUAAUCUUUGAACGCUGUUCGUGAUUGGGAUAGACCUUUGCAAUUAUGGGUCUUCAACGAGGAAUUCCUAGUAAACGCAAGUCAUCAGCUUGCAUUGAUUACGUCCCUGCCCUUUGUACACACCGCCCGUCGCACCUACCGAUUGAAUGGUCCGGUGAAAUCUCGGGACGGCGGCUUGGUCGCUUGCGUCCGACUGCUGAAACUUGAUUAAACCAUAUCAUUUAGAGGAAGGUGAAGUCGUAACA